CCUACGGGGCGCAGCAGUGGGGAAUAUUGCACAAUGGGGGAAACCCUGAUGCAGCGACGCCGCGUGAGUGAAGAAGUAUUUCGGUAUGUAAAGCUCCAUCAGCAGGGAAGAAAAAAGACGGUACCUGACUAAGAAGCCCCGGCUAACUACGUGCCAGCAGCCGCGGUAAUACGUAGGGGGCAAGCGUUAUCCGGAUGUACUGGGUGUAAAGGGAGCGUAGACGGCGCGGCAAGUCUGAAGUGAAAGGCAGGGGCUUAACCCCUGAGCUGCUUUGGAAACUGCCAUGCUAGAGUGCUGGAGAGGUAAGUGGAAUUCCUAGUGUAGCGGUGAAAUGCAUAGAUAUCGCGCAGAACUCCGAUUGCGAAGGCAGCAUGCCGGCUCCACACUGACGCUGAGGCACGAAAGCGUGGGUAUCGAACAGGAUUAGAUACCCGAGUAGUC
rnacentral:rRNA from 1 species